ensembl:lncRNA
AUUCUUAUGCAGGUGCUGAUAAAUCCACGCAGGGAAGACGGUUGGCUUAUUAUGAAUGCACCUUUCAGGGGAGUGGCUGAUAUUUCACAGAAGACCAAAGAUCCAAUUUUAGCAUUAGAAGUCUUCAAACAAGAGCCAGUUGAAGAGCUCAUCUGUGUCCAUCUUGGGACAAUAGCCUGGGGUAAGUAGUAUAUUUAUUUUUGCUAUUUUCUAAAUACUUCAGGAGUAAAUUUGUUUAGAAUUUACAGGUGAUGACAUGUAUCAGAGAGAUGGAAUUACUUGACUCUGUGACAGCAUCAAAAUUCAAACUCACAAUUUGUUAACCAUGCAGUGUAAUUCAAUUUGGGGGUGCUUUUGGAUUCUGGCUUAUUUGGAGGCCAUUUGUUACUAAUGGCUAUGACUUAUAAACUGGUUUGAUUCCUGUGUAUUGACCUGUGUGUGCACGUGACCGAAAUAAUAAACCAUUUAUAGCUGGAAGAGAUACGAGUAAUUAUUUCCCCAAACCUUUUAUUUUUUUAGAUGGGGCUGUUGAUAUCCAAGUAGUUAAAUGAAAGGCCAAGAAGCGACAGAGCCAGGCACCAAAUCCAGAUUUCUACACAUUCGUUCUGUUUUCAUUCAUUAAUUCUAUUCCCUCAUUUGGUAUUCCAACUUCAUCUGUUCAUUUAUCCAUCCAUUCACUCCAGUGCUCUGUGAAUGGAAUCAUGACCAUAUCUGAGUCCAUAUCCUGUAAUUAAAUAUAGGUAAACUGAGUGUGAGUUUGCAAAACAUUUCUAAACCUUCACACUGGGGCACUUUUCUGACUUAAUACAUACAGGCAAAAGAAUGGACAUUCUUAUGUUAAAGUGUGAGUAUAAAAUGCUGCCCUUUACCAUAGAGAUGCAGCAGAAAGGCUUUUGCAGGAUGUCUGACCCAUUUUGAAGCACAGGACUAGGCCAAGUCAUGAGGCCAAUAGACCAGGCCCUUCCUGAAUGUCGCCUGACCUGAAGACCAUUGUGACUCAGUGUUGGCUGAUCUCUGCUCCUCCAAGGGUGAUUCCCCAGCUUGGGGCAAAGCGGAGGGGAGGCCUGCUUCAAAGCCUCUCUCAGCCUGUGGAAAAGCAUAGUCUGGAGUGGGGCGGCUGCCAAGUCCACCACAUGAAUGUUCGUUUUGCUUGGCUUGUGGUCAAGCAACAGCAAAAAAACAGAGAUGUUAAAGGAGUAGAAUUCCAGCUUGGGGAAGAAGGACAGUCCUCGGCAUCAGCCUGUUCUGGCCUGGAUCAGCCAAGUGGAUUCCUCUUUGGGAGAGAGAAGUCGAGUUUCUAUGACAAUCCAUGGCCGCUCUGCCAAGACUGCCAGCCGGGGUGCCCGGCAGUGCUAAUUGCUAUGCAGACAUCCGUUCAUUAG